rnacentral:tRNA from 2 species
GGCUGCCUGGCCCAAUGGUCAAGGCGCUUGACUACGACUGCGCGCUGCACAGUUGGCAUCAAGAGAUUCCAGGUUCGAGUCCUGGGGUGGUCG